rnacentral:rRNA from 1 species
CCUACGGGUGGCUGCAGUGGGGAAUAUUGCACAAUGGGCGCAAGCCUGAUGCAGCCAUGCCGCGUGUGUGAAGAAGGCCUUCGGGUUGUAAAGCACUUUCAGCGGGGAGGAAGGCGGUGAGGUUAAUAACCUCAUCGAUUGACGUUACCCGCAGAAGAAGCACCGGCUAACUCCGUGCCAGCAGCCGCGGUAAUACGGAGGGUGCAAGCGUUAAUCGGAAUUACUGGGCGUAAAGCGCACGCAGGCGGUCUGUCAAGUCGGAUGUGAAAUCCCCGGGCUCAACCUGGGAACUGCAUUCGAAACUGGCAGGCUAGAGUCUUGUAGAGGGGGGUAGAAUUCCAGGUGUAGCGGUGAACUGCGUAGAGAUCUGGAGGAAUACCGGUGGCGAAGGCGGCCCCCUGGACAAAGACUGACGCUCAGGUGCGAAAGCGUGGGGAGCAAACAGGAUUAGAUACCCGAGUAGUC